GUGGGUGUAGCUCAGUGGUAGAGCACAUGCUUAGCGUGCAUGAGCUCAUGGGUUCAAUCCCCGGUACCUCCC
rnacentral:tRNA from 1 species